rnacentral:sRNA from 2 species
CCCCUUGGGGAGUAGCCUGCUUCCACACAUCUGGAAGCGCUCGCGUCAACACACUCGGUACAUAUACCGUGGCGCAGCAACCAUCGUGGUUUGGCGAGACCAACGGCUCGUGUACGCAAUGCUGGUU